UACCAAACCACUUCACCGUGAGAUAAAAGUAGAUUAAAAUACCACCACAAACAUUAUUCAAAAAUCACAUUUUUUAUUUUCUUACAAGAAUUCAGUUAAUAAAACAUCUAAUCCCAAAGUGAUUGGAAAGCAACACUUCACAAAACAAGACCAAAGUACACACCUUACAAAUUAUCUAAGCAAUACCAGUAAUAAACAAGGUUAUCAUUUUGUGCAAAAUUAUAUUAAAUUUGGCUCCAUGCUCCCGAGUGGUGUGACGUGGUUUAAAGUGACUGCGCUGCAUGCCAAUAAGAAGUCAGUAGUGGUUUCUAAGAUAGCUGCGCCGCCUUGUGGUACAUCGUGGUAUUACAUGAAUGCUGCGCCACCCUGUGGUACAUCGUAGUAUUACAUCUAACCUACCAGUGGGCAUUUCUCCAUUCCACUCAGUCAGUCAGUAAUCUCACAUUCCUUCUGUAUAAGUGGAUACUCACACAGUACACAAUACAAAUCGACGUAUGAAAAUAGUGUGCGACCAGUGUCAUCUACCUAUGAAAACAAUCCUACCAUUUAAAAAGAAGUGUGUUAUAUCAAAAACAUAGGAUACCAUAGUGCAUCAGAUUGUACAAGAUUUGCAUCCAUCAUUGUGUUCGUCCAGAACUCUCUGCCAGAAGCAAAGGAAUUACCCCACAGUAUACAGCACAGUGAAAAACACAUGUUUAAAGUCAGUCAGACAUUUAGAUUGGAGUUGGUGAUUAGAAACAAGCAGUCCACAGACGUCAUCAUAUGGCUAUAGAUGGUUAAACAUGCAGAAGAGAAAGGCAAGUCUUAUUGUACCUAACACACUGUGCAGUUGUUCCUCUUUAAAAGGUCUCAGUCAGUUGUUCCUCUUUAAAAGGUCUCAGUCAGUUGUUCCUCUUUAAAAGGUCUCAGUCAGUUGCUCCUCUUUAAAAGGUCUCAGUCAGUUGCUCCUCUUUAAAAGGUCUCAGUCAGUUGUUCCUCUUUAAAGGUCUCAGUCAGUUGUUCCUCUUUAAAAGGUCUCAGUCAGUUGCUCCUCUUUAAAAGGUCUCAGUCAGUUGUUCCUCUUUAAAAGGUCUCAGUCAGUUGUUCCUCUUUAAAGAUCUCGGUCAGUUGCUCCUCUUUAAAAGGUCUCAGUCAGUUGCUCCUCUUUAAAAGGUCUCAGUCAGCUGUUCCUCUUUAAAAGGUCUCAGUCAGUUGUUCCUCUUUAAAAGGUCUCAGUCAGUUGUUCCUCUUUAAAAGGUCUCAGUCAGUUGUUCCUCUUUAAAAGGUCUCAGUCAGUUGUUCCUCUUUAAAAGGUCUCAGUCAGUUGUUCCUCUUUAAAAGGUCUCAGUCAGUUGCUCCUCUUUAAAAGGUCUCAGUCAGUUGUUCCUCUUUAAAAGGUCUCAGUCAGUUGCUCCUCUUUAAAAGGUCUCAGUCAGUUGUUCCUCUUUAAAAGGUCUCAGUCAGUUGCUCCUCUUUAAAGAUCUCGGUCAGUUGCUCCUCUUUAAAGGUCUCAGUCAGUUGCUCCUCUUUAAAAGGUCUCAGUCAGUUGUUCCUCUUUAAAAGGUCUCAGUCAGUUGUUCCUCUUUAAAAGGUCUCAGUCAGUUGUUCCUCUUUAAAAGGUCUCAGUCAGUUGCUCCUCUUUAAAAGGUCUCAGUCAGUACACUUAUCAGUGGUGGCUGGUGCCACCUUGAAUCUGAGGAGGGACUCAUAGUAAUGGCUGGAAUGAAUAGACAGGCAUCAAACACAUCUAGACUUGGUUUCUUCCCAGUGUUUGACUCCGUUCCAUCUAUUCCAUUCCAGCCAUUAUUAUGAGCCGUCCUCCCUUGACCAGCCUCCAAUGACUCUCUUGUACAUAGGGAGGCUAUCACUUUGUGUUUGCUGUUUGCUUAAAGGGAUAGUUCAUCCAAAUUACACUAUAACCUUUAAAUUCAGAGGGUUCCUGAGUUGUUGGAAUAGAGAUAUUGCUGCUUAAGGUUCUUUAUUCCUUAGCCCUCUGAUAUCUCUCUACUGUUCUAGAGCCCUCUGAUAGCUCUCUACUGUUCUAGAGCCCUCUGAUAUCCCGCUACUGUUCUAGAGUCCUCUGAUAUCUCGCUACAGUUCUAGAGCCCUCUGAUAUCUCGCUACUGUUCUAGAGCCCUCUGAUAUCUCGCUACUGUUCUAGAGCCCUCUGAUAUCUCGCUGCUGUUCUAGAGCCCUCUGAUAUCUCUCUACUGUUCUAGAGCCCUCUACUGUUCUAGAGCCCUCUGAUAUCUCACUACUGUUCUAGAGCCCUCUGAUAUCCCUCUACUGUUCUAGAGCCCUCUGAUAUCUCGCUACUGUUCUAGAGCCCUCUGAUAUCCCUCUACUGUUCUAGAGCCCUCUGAUAUCUCGCUACUGUUCUAGAGCCCUCUGAUAUCCCUCUACUGUUCUAGAGCCCUCUGAUAUCUCUCUACUGUUCUAGAGCCCUCUGAUAUCCCUCUACUGUUCUAGAGCCCUCUGAUAUCCCUCUACUGUUCUAGAGCCCUCUGAUAUCUCUCUACUGUUGUAGAGCCCUCUGAUAUCUCUCUACUGUUCUAGAGCCUUCUGAUAUCUUGCUACUGUUGUAGAGCCCUCUGAUAUCUCUCUACUGUUCUAGAGCCCUCUGAUAUCUCUCUACUGUUCUAGAGCCUUCUGAUAUCUCGCUACUGUUCUAGAGCCCCCUGAUGUCUCUCUACUGUUCUAGAGCCCUCUGAUAUCUCUCUACUGUUCUAGUGCCCUCUGAUGUCUCUCUACUGUUCUAGAGCCCUCUGAUAUCUCUCUACUGUUCUAGAGCCCUCUGAUAUCCUCUCUACUGUUCUAGAGCCCUCUGAUAUCCCUCUACUGUUCUAGAGCCCUCUGAUAUCUCUCUACUGUUGUAGAGCCCUCUGAUAUCUCUCUACUGUUCUAGAGCCUUCUGAUAUCUUGCUACUGUUGUAGAGCCCUCUGAUAUCCCUCUACUGUUCUAGAGCCCUCUGAUAUCUCUCUACUGUUGUAGAGCCCUCUGAUAUCGCUCUACUGUUCUAGAGCCUUCUGAUAUCUCGCUACUGUUCUAGAGCCCUCUGAUGUCUCUCUACUGUUCUAGUGCCCUCUGAUGUCUCUCUACUGUUCUAGAGCCCUCUGAUAUCUCUCUACUGUUCUAGAGCCCUCUGAUAUCUAUACUGUUCUAGAGCCAUCUGAUGUCCCUCUACUGUUAUAGAGCCCUCUGAUAUCUCUCUACUGUUGUAGAGCCCUCUGAUAUCUCUCUACUGUUGUAGAGCCCUCUGAUAUCUCUCUACUGUUCUAGAGCCCUCUGAUAUCUCUCUACUGUUCUAGAGCCUUCUGAUAUCUCUCUACUGUUCUAGAGCCCUCUGAUAUCUCUCUACUGUUCUAGAGCCCUCUGAUAUCUAUACUGUUCUAGAGCCAUCUGAUGUCCCUCUACUGUUCUAGAGCCCUCUGAUAUCUCUCUACUGUUGUAGAGCCCUCUGAUAUCUCUCUACUGUUCUAGAGCCCUCUGAUAUCCCUCUACUGUUCUAGAGCCAUCUGAUGUCUCUCUACUGUUCUAGAGCCCUCUGAUAUCUCUCUACUGUUCUAGAGCCCUCUGAUAUCCCUCUACUGUUCUAGAGCCAUCUGAUGUCCCUCUACUGUUCUAGAGCCCUCUGAUAUCUCUCUACUGUUCUAGAGCCCUCUGAUAUCUAUACUGUUCUAGAGCCAUCUGAUGUCCCUCUACUGUUCUAGAGCCCUCUGAUAUCUCUCUACUGUUCUAGAGCCCUCUGAUAUCUCUCUACUGUUCUAGAGCCCUCUGAUAUCUC
ensembl:lncRNA